AAUUAGCGCUGGCGGCGUGCUUAACACAUGCAAGUCGAACGAGAAAGUACUUCGGUACGAGUAGAGUGGCGGACGGGUGAGUAACACGUAGGUAACCUGCCCUCAAGAAGGGGAUAACCUGCCGAAAGGCGGGCUAAUACCAUAUAAUGCUACGGGCCGAGAGGUGUUGUAGUCAAAGGAUGGUCUCUGUUUACAAGCUAUCGCUUGAGGAUGGGCCUGCGCACCAUUAGCUAGUUGGUAGGGUAACGGCCUACCAAGGCGAAGAUGGUUAGCUGGUCUGAGAGGACGACCAGCCACACUGGAACUGAGACACGGUCCAGACUCCUACGGGAGGCAGCAGUGGGGAAUCUUGGACAAUGGGGGAAACCCUGAUCCAGCAACGCCGUGUGAGUGAUGAAGGUCUUCGGAUUGUAAAGCUCUGUUAAUCGGGAAUAAAGGCGCAAGCAUCAGAUCCUUGCGCUUGAAUGUACCGGUAGAGGAAGCACCGGCUAACUCUGUGCCAGCCGCCGCGGUAACAC
rnacentral:rRNA from 1 species